rnacentral:rRNA from 1 species
UACGUAGGUGGCGAGCGUUAUCCGGAAUUACUGGGUGUAAAGGGAGCGCAGGCGCGGCGACAAGUCAGCUGUGAAAACUAUGGGCUUAACUCAUAGACUGCAGUUGAAACUGUUGCUCUUGAGUGGAGUAGAGGCAAGCGGAAUUCCGAGUGUAGCGGUGAAAUGCGUAGAUAUUCGGAGGAACACCAGUGGCGAAGGCGGCUUGCUGGGCUCUAACUGACGCUGAGGCUCGAAAGUGUGGGGAGCGAACAGGA